AUCGCUUCUCGGCCUUUUGGCUAAGAUCAAGUGUAGUAUCUGUUCUUAUCAGUUUACUAUCUGAUACGCCCUCUAUCCGAGAACAACAUAUUAAAUGCAUUUUUUGUAAGUAGGAUUUAGACCAAGAGCUUGCUUCAUCCAGUCCACGCAUCAUCCUGGUAUUGCUGUGCUUCCAGGGAAUGGUGCCACCCCA
rnacentral:snRNA from 1 species